rfam:Picea glauca, whole genome shotgun sequence.
ACAUGCCUACAACAUAGCGUUAAUGCAUCGGAUCCCAUUAGAACUUUGUAGUUAAUCACGCUCAUGCUAGAGUAGUACUAGGAUGGGUGAUCGCCCAGGAAGUCCUAGUGUUUUACAUGCC